AACGAACGCUGGCGGCAUGCCUAACACAUGCAAGUCGAACGAGACCUUCGGGUCUAGUGGCGCACGGGUGCGUAACGCGUGGGAAUCUGCCCUUGGGUUCGGAAUAACAGUUGGAAACGACUGCUAAUACCGGAUGAUGACGUAAGUCCAAAGAUUUAUCGCCCAGGGAUGAGCCCGCGUAGGAUUAGCUAGUUGGUGGGGUAAAGGCCUACCAAGGCGACGAUCCUUAGCUGGUCUGAGAGGAUGAUCAGCCACACUGGGACUGAGACACGGCCCAGACUCCUACGGGAAGCAGCAGUGGGGAAUAUUGGACAAUGGGCGAAAGCCUGAUCCAGCAAUGCCGCGUGAGUGAUGAAGGCCUUAGGGUUGUAAAGCUCUUUUACCAGGGAUGAUAAUGACAGUACCGGGAGAAUAAGCCCCGGCUAACUCCGUG
rnacentral:rRNA from 1 species